rnacentral:rRNA from 1 species
GACGAACGCUGGCGGCGUGCUUAACACAUGCAAGUCGAGGGCACUAUUGGGGCAACCUGGUAGUGACCGGCGAACGGGUGCGUAACACGUGAGCGACCUUGCCUCGUGGUGGGGGAUAGCCGGCCCAACGGCCGGGUAAUACCGCAUAUGGUAGUUUCUUCGCAUGAGGAGACUAGCAAAGCCUUGGAGCAAUCCAAUGGCGCCACAGGGGGGC